rnacentral:rRNA from 1 species
UACGUAGGGGGCAAGCGUUGUCCGGAUUUAUUGGGCGUAAAGAGCUCGUAGGUGGUUCGGUAAGUCGGGUGUGAAACCUCCAGGCUCAACCUGGAGACGCCACCCGAUACUGCUGUGACUGGAGUCCGGUAGGGGAGCGUGGAAUUCCUGGUGUAGCGGUGAAAUGCGCAGAUAUCAGGAGGAACACCAGCGGCGAAGGCGGCGCUCUGGGCCGGUACUGACACUGAGGAGCGAAAGCGUGGGGAGCGAACAGG